rnacentral:rRNA from 1 species
GAUGAACGCUGGCGGCGUGCCUAAUACAUGCAAGUCGAGCGAACAGACGAGGAGCUUGCUCCUCUGACGUUAGCGGCGGACGGGUGAGUAACACGUGGAUAACCUACCUAUAAGACUGGGAUAACUUCGGGAAACCGGAGCUAAUACCGGAUAAUAUAUUGAACCGCAUGGUUCAAUAGUGAAAGACGGUUUUGCUGUCACUUAUAGAUGGAUCCGCGCCGCAUUAGCUAGUUGGUAAGGUAACGGCUUACCAAGGCAACGAUGCGUAGCCGACCUGAGAGGGUGAUCGGCCACACUGGAACUGAGACACGGGCCAGACUCCUACGGGAGGCAGCAGUAGGGAAUCUUCCGCAAUGGGCGAAAGCUUGACGGAGCAACGCCGCGUGAGUGAUGAAGGUCUUCGGAUCGUAAAACUCUGUUAUUAGGGAAGAACAAAUGUGUAAGUAACGAUGCACGUCUUGACGGUACCUAAUCAGAAAGCCACGGCUAACUACGUGC